rnacentral:rRNA from 1 species
CCUACGGGGGGCAGCAGUGGGGAAUAUUGGACAAUGGGCGAAAGCCUGAUCCAGCCAUGCCGCGUGUGUGAAGAAGGCCUUCGGGUUGUAAAGCACUUUCAGUGGGGAAGAAAGCCUUGGGGCUAAUACCCUCGAGGAAGGACAUCACCCACAGAAGAAGCACCGGCUAACUCCGUGCCAGCAGCCGCGGUAAUACGGGGGUGCGAGCGUUAAUCGGAAUUACUGGGCGUAAAGCGCGCGUAGGCGGUCUGAUAAGCCGGUUGUGAAAGCCCCGGGCUCAACCUGGGAACGGCAUCCGGAACUGUCAGGCUAGAGUGCAGGAGAGGAAGGUAGAAUUCCCGGUGUAGCGGUGAAAUGCGUAGAGAUCGGGAGGAAUACCAGUGGCGAAGGCGGCCUUCUGGACUGACACUGACGCUGAGGUGCGAAAGCGUGGGUAGCAAACAGGAUUAGAUACCCCGGUAGUC